GGACUACAGGGGUUUCUAAUCCCGUUUGCUCCCCUGGCUUUCGCGCCUCAGCGUCAGAAGAGGUCCAGCAUGCCGCCUUCGCCACCGGAGUUCCUAACGAUAUCAACGCAUUUCACCGCUCCACCGUUAGUUCCGCAUGCCCCUACCUCCCUCGAGACACCCAGUAUCCGCGGCAGUUCUCCAGUUGAGCUGGAGGAUUUCACCACGGACUUGAAUGCCCGCCUACGCGCCCUUUAAGCCCAGUGAUUCCGAACAACGUUCGCUCGGUUCGUCUUACCGCGGCUGCUGGCAC
rnacentral:rRNA from 1 species